rnacentral:tRNA from 2 species
GCGGGUGUAGUUCAACGGUAGAAUCCCAGCCUUCCAAGCUGGUCGUGUGGGUUCGAUUCCCAUCACUCGCUCCA